UUUCAAGAAUGGACUAUAAACGUAGUCAUUCCCUACCAAGGAAUCAGGAGUUUCGAAAAUAUGCCACCACAGCUCCCUCCCAGUAGACAAUCAUGUGAGAACUACACUGAAAAUACGACGUAUUGGGAAGCAAAUAUAUAAUGGAGAAUCAGCAAAUAUUUAUAAAGAGCCACAACACGACGAGCCCGCCAGACCUCUACGUUCGAGGAAAAGGCGAAACAGCGAAGACAAAGAAGGAGAGGGUCGUGUGGGGUCGGCUGGGCGGUUACCCCUUUUGGUGCGCCAGAGUAGCCGCCGACGAGUCAGGCAACUACAAGCGCCAACGAGGCCGAGUGGAGGAAGUGAGUGUCGAGUGGCGACCAAUACAUGUAUUAUCCAGUAUUUCCUUUAUUAUAGUAGGGCUAUAGAUUCAAGUUUUUUGAAUAAUUGUUUUCAACAAUGUGGAAUUUUUUAUGGUAUAAUUAUAUUUUUUUAUUGAAGAGUUGUUUGCUUUUUGAAGUGUAAAUUGUUAUUUUAAUGAGUAAUUAGUAAGCCACUUCGGCCCUCAGGGCUUUCAACCCCCACGGCAACCCCCACCCACAACUGAUCAGUGACAUUGAGAACAACCCAGGCCACAAUAAAAAAAAACAAUGAAGCCACAAAGGUGCCUAAAAGACUACUGGCGAAAUGGCAGGCAUCCAUGGAUGCUGCCAUGAGACUUAUGCUGCAACAAGAGGCAGAAGAUUCUGAACUCCCUGAAGAUGGCGAAUGUUAGAGUGCUGUACAUUGAAGUCAAGAAGCUGAAAAUUGCUGAAAAAGAAAACUGUCUACAUUCACUAGAUCAACUGGCAAAAUUACUGGCAAUUACAUGAAUAACUGGCAAGCUUAGAAUUUGAAAUUUUAUGACAAGCUUACUGCAUGCUGCUACUGUGCCUGGAACUG